rnacentral:rRNA from 1 species
UACGUAGGGGGCAAGCGUUGUCCGGAAUCAUUGGGCGUAAAGAGCGUGUAGGCGGCCAGAUAAGUCCGCUGUGAAAUCUCGAGGCUCAACUUCGAGCUGUCGGUGGAAACUGUCUGGCUAGAGUACGGAAGAGGAGAAUGGAAUUCCUGGUGUAGCGGUGAAAUGCGCAGAUAUCAGGAAGAACACCCGUGGCGAAGGCGGUUCUCUGGGACGGUACUGACGCUGAGACGCGAAAGCGUGGGGAGCGAACAGG